GAGUCUCACUCUGUCGCCCAGGCUGGAGUGCAGUGGUGCAAUCUUGGCUCACUGCAAGCUCCACCUCCUGGGUUCAUGCCAUUCUCCUGCCUCAGCCUCCCAAGUGGCUGGGACAACAGGCGCCCACCACCAUGCCCAGCUAAUGUUUUGUAUUUUUUAGUAGAGACGGGGUUUCACUAUGUUAGCCAGGAUGGUCUUGAUCUCCUGACCUCGUGAUCUACCUGCCUCGGCCUCCCAAAGUGCUGGAAUUACAGGCAUGAGCCACAGCACCUGGCCAUGAAAGGCACUUUUUACAUGGCAGCAGGCAAGAAAGCAUGGGAGUGAAGUGAAAGGGGAAACAGCUUAUAAAACCAUCAAUCUCAUGAGACUUAUUCACUACCAGGAGAACAGUAUGGGAAAAACCACCCCCAUGAUUCAAUUAGCUCCCACCGGGUCACUCCCACAACACAUGGGAAUCAUGGAAGCUACAAUUCAAGAUGAGAUUUGGGUGGGGACACAUCCAAACCAUAUCAUUUCACCCCUGGCGCUUCCCAAAUAUCAUGUCCUCACAUGUCAAAACUAAUCAUGCCUUCCCAACAGUCCCCCAAAGUCUUAACUCAUUUUAGCAUUAACUCAAAAGUCCACAGUCCAAAGUCUUAUCUGAGACAAGGCAAGUCCCUUCCACCUAUGAGCCUGUAAAAUCAAAAGCAAGUUAGUUACUUCUUAGAUACCAUGGGGGUAUAGGCAUUGGGAAAAUACCCCCAUUCCAAAUGGGAGAAAUUGGCCAAAACAAGGGGCUACAGUCCCCAUGCAAGUCCAAAAUCCAGUGGGGCAUUCAAAUCUUAAAGAUUCAAAAUGAUAUCCUUUGACUGCAUGUGUCACAUCCAGGUCACACUGAUGCAAGAGUUGCCAUGGUCUUGGGAAGCUCUGGCCCUGCGGCUUUGCAGGGUACAGCCUCCCUCCCAGCUGCUUUUAUGGGUUGGUGUUGAGUGUCUGCAGCUUUUCCAGGCACACAGGGCUUGCUGUUGGGAGAUGUACCAUUCUAGGCUCUGGAGGAUGGUGGCCUUCUUCUCACAGUUCCACUAAGCAGUGCCCCAGUGGGGACUAUUUGUGGGUGCUUCAACCCCGUAUUUCCCUUCCACACUGCCUUAGCAGAGGUUCUCAAUGAGGGCCCUGCCCCGGCAGCAAACCUCUGCCUAGACAACCAGGUGUUUCCAUACAUCCUCUAAAACCUAGGAGGAGGUUCCCAAACCUCAAUUCUUGACUCUAGCCUGGAUGACAAAGUGAGACCCUGUCUCAAAAAACAAAAACGUUCAGUGAGUUGGAGGUCCCAGUGAAGCGAGAGCAGUUAAGUGAUUAUACUCUAAGGACAUGAGGUGAGGGUCAGAGAAGCCCAUGUCUGCACCAGUGAUUGCAGAAGUGAGAUAAUUCUUGAGGAAUGAAAGGGACUAGAAUGUAGGUGAUGAACUUUGGUGACAAAACGCAAACCAUGCAUAUAACAAAGAAGAAUAAUGCUCCGAAUAUAUGAGAAAAAUUUCACAAUAACUCUGAGAAAAUACUUUAUGUUUUCACUACGAGGAAACACUGAGGUGAGAGUUCUGCUAAAUAGCAGAUUUGACUAUGGUGCAAUGCACACAUGUAAACAAAUAUCACACUGUAUCCUAUAAAUAUGCACAAUUAUUACAUAUCAAUUAAAAGCAACCUUAAAAAUACACAAUACUUUUUUUUUUUUUACUUUAAGUUCUGGGAUACAUGUGCAGAACAUGCAGGUUUGUUAUGUAAGUAUACAUGUGCCAUGGUGAUUUGCUGAACCUAUCAAUCUGUCAUCUACAUUCUAAGCCCUGCAUUCACUAGGUAUUUGUCCUAAUGCUCUCCCUCCCCUUGCACCCCAACCCGCAACAGGCCCCGGUGUGUGAUGAUCCCCUCCCUGUGUCCGUGUGUUCUCAUUGUUCAACUCCCACUUAUGAGUGAGGACGUGCAGUGUUUGGUUUUCUCUUCCUGUGUUAGUUUCUUGAGGACGUGAAUUCAUUCUUUUUUAUGGCUGCACAGUAUUCCAUGGUGUAUAUAUGCCAUAUGUAAUUUAUCCAGUCUAUCAUUGAUGGGUAUUUGGUUGCUUCCAAGUCUUUGCUAUUGUAAAUAGUGCUGCAAUAAACAUAUGUGUGCAUGUGUCUUUUUAGAAGAAUGACUUAUAAUCCUUUGGGUAUAUACCCAGUAAUGGGAUUGCUGAGUCAAAUGGUAUUUGUGGUUCUAGAUCCUUGAGGAAUCUCCCCACUGUCUUCCACAAUGGUUGAACUAAUUUACACUCACACCAACAGUGUAAAAGCGUUCCUGUAUCUCUGCAGCCUCAUCAGUAUCUGUUGUUUCCUGACUUCUUAAUGAUCGCUAUUCUAUGGUGUGAGAUGGUAUCUCACUGUGGUUUUGAUUUGCAUUUCUCUAACGACCAGUGAUGAUGAGGUUGUUUUCACAUGUUUGUUGGCCAUACAAAUGUCUUCUUUUGAGAAUUGUCUGUUGAUAUCCUUCACUCACUUUUUGAUAGGGCUUUUGUUUUUUUCUUGUAAAUUUGUUUAAGUUCCUUGUAGAUUCUGGAUACUAGGCCUUUGUCAGAUAGGGAGAUUGCAAAAAAUUUUCCCCCAUUCUGUAGGCUGCCUGUUCACUCUGAUGAUAGUUUCUUUUGCUGUACAGAAGCUCAUUAGUUUUAUUAGAUCCCAUUUGCCAAUUUUGGCUUUUGUUGCAAGUACUUUUGGUGUUUUAGUCAUGAAGUCUUUGCCCAUGCCUAUGCCCUGAAUGGUAUUGCCUAGGUUUUCCUCUAGGGUCCCUUUUUUUUUUUUUUUUUUUUUUUUUUUGGUUUUGGAUCUUACAUUUAAGUUUUUAAUCCAUCUUGAGUUAAUUUCUGUAUAAGGUGUAAGGAAGUAGUCCAGUUUCUGUUUUCUGCCUAUGGCUAGCCAGUUUUCCCACCACCAUUUAUUAAAUAGGGAAUUCUUUCCACAUUGCUUGUUUUUGUCAGGUUUGUUGAAGAUCAGAUGGUUAUAGAUGUGUGGUGUUAUUUCUGAGGUCUCUGUUUUGUUCCAUUGGUCUAUGUAUCUGUUUUGGUACCAGUACCAUGCUGCUUUGGUUACUGUAGCCUUGUAGUAUAGUUUGAAAUCAGCUAGUGCAAUGCCUUCAGCUUUGUUCUUUUUGCUUAGGACUGUCUUGGCUAUAUGAGCUCUUUUUUGGUUCCAUAUGAAAUUUAAAGUAGUUUUUUCCAAUUCUGUGAAGAAAGUCAUUGGCAGCUUAAUGGGAAUAGCAUUGAAUUUAUAAAUUACUUUAGGCAGUAUGGCCAUUUUCAUGAUAUUGAUUCUUCCUAUCCAUGAGCAUGGAAUGUUUUUCCAUUUGUUUAUGUCCUCUUUUAUUUACUUUAGCAGUUGUUUGUAGUUCUCCUUGAAGAGGUGCUUCAUGUCCCUUGUUAAGUUGUAUUCCUAGGUAUUCUAUUCUCUUUGUACCAAUUGCGAAUGGGAGUUCACUCAUAAUUUGGCUCUCUGCUUGUCUAUUAUUGGGGUAUAGGAAUGCUUGAGACUUUUGCAUAUUGAUUUUGUGAGACUUUGCUGAAGUUGCUUAUCAGCUUAAGGAGUUUUUGGGCUGAGAUGAUGACGUUUUCUAAAUAUAUAAUCAUGUCAUCUGCAAACAGAGACAAUUUGACUUCCUCUCCUCCUAUUUGAAUACUCUUUAUUUCUUUCUCUUGCCUGACUGCCCGGGCCAGAACUUCCAAUUCCAUGGUGAACAGGGGUGAUGAGAGAGGAUAUCUCAAUAUCUUCUGUGUGAUAUUGGCUAUGGGUUUGUUUUAAAUAGCUCUUGUUAUUUUGAGAUAUGUUUCAUCAAUACCUAGUUUACUGAGAGUUUUUAACACGAGAGAAUGUUGAAUUUUAUCAAAGGCCUUUUCUGCAUCUAUUGAGAUAAUCAUGUGGUUUUUGUCAUUGGUUCUGUUUAUGUGAUGGAUUACGUUUAUUGAUUUGCAUAUAUUGAACCAUCCUUGCAUCCCAGGUAUGAGGCCAACUUCAUCAUGGUGGAUAAGCUUUUUGAUGUGCUGCUGGAUUCAUUUCGGCAGUAUUUUAUUGAGAAUUUUUGCAUCAGUGUUCAUCAGGGAUAUCGGCCGGAGAUUUUCUUUUUUUGUUGUGUCUCUGACAGAUUUUGGUAUCAGGAUGAUGCGGCCCCAUAAAAUGGUUAGGGAGGAGUCCUUCUUUUUCUAUUGUUUGGAAUAGUUUCACAAGGAAUGGUACCAGCUCCUCUUUGUACCUCUGGUAGAAUUUGGCUGUAAAUCUGACUGGUCCUGGGCUUUUAUUCAUUUCUAGGAUAUUAAUUACAGCCUCAAUUUCAGAACUUGUUAUUGGUCUAUUCAGGGAUUCGCCUUCUCCCUGGUUAUGUCUUGGGAGGGUGUAUGUGUACAGGAAUUUAUCCAUUUCUUCUAGAUUUUCCAGUUUAUUUGUAGUGAGGUGUUUAUAGUAUUCUCUGAUGGUGGUUUGUAUUUCUGUGGGAUCGGUGGUGCUAUCCCCUGUAUCAUUUUUUUCUUGUGUCUAUUUGAUUAAUCUGUCUUUUCUUAUUAGUCUAGCUAGCAGUCUAUUUUAUUAAUCUUUUCAACAUACCAGUUCCUGGAUUCAUAGAUUUUUUUUUUGAAGGGUUUUUCAUGUCUCUAUCUCCUUCAGUUCUGCUCUGAUCUUAGUUAUUUCUUGUCUUCUGCUAGCUUUUGAAUUUGUUUGCUCUUGCUUCUCCAGUUCUUUUAAUUGUGAGGUUAGGGUGUCAGUAUCAGAUCUUUCCAGCUUUCUGAUUUCCCUCUUAACACUGCUUUAGUUGUGUCCCAGAGAUUCUGGUACACUGUCUGUUCUCACUGGUUUCAAAUAACUUCUUUAUUUCUGUCUUAAUUUUGUUAUUUAUGCAGUAGUCAUUCCAGAGCAGGUUGUGGUUUUGAGUGAGUUUCUUAAUCCUGAGUUCUAAUUUGAUUGCACUGUGGUCUGAGAGACUGUGUAUGAUUUCUGUUCAUUUGCUGAAGAGUGUUUUACUUCCAAUUAUGUGGUCAAUUUUAGAAUAAGUCUAUGCAGCGCUGUGAAAAAGGUAUAUUCUGUUGAUCUGGGGUGGAGAGUUCUGUAGAUGUCUAUUAGGUCUGCUUAGUUCAGAGCUGAGUUCAAGUCCUGAAUAUCCUUGUUAAUAUUCUGUCUCCCUGAUCUGCCUAAUAUUGACAGUGGGGUGUUAAAGCCUCCCACUGUUAUUAUGUGGGAGUCUAAGUCUCUCUGUAGGUCUCUAAGAACUUCUUUUAUGAAGCUGAGUGCUCCUGUAUUGGGUGGGUGCAUAUAUAUUUAAGAUAGUUACCUCUUCUUGUUUCAUUCUUCUCUUUACAAUUAUGUAAUGACUUUGUCUUUUUUGAUCUUUGUUGGUUUAAAGUCUAUUUUAGCAGAGACUAGGAUUGCAACUCCUGCUUUUUUUUUUUUUUGCUUUCCAUUUGCUUGGUAAAUAUUCCCUGAUCCCUUUCUUUUGAGCCUAUGUGUGUCUUUGUACGUGAGAUGGUCUCCUGAAUGAAUACAACACACCGAUGGGUCUUGAUCCUUUACCCAAUUUGCCAGUCUGUAUCUUUUAAUUGGGGAACUUAGCACAUUUACAUUUCAGGUUAAUAUUGUCAUGUGUGAAUCUGAUCCUGACAUCAUGAUGGUAGCUGGUUAUUUUGAACAUUAGUUGAUGUAGUUUCUUCAUAGUUUCCUUGGUCUUUAUAUUUUGGUGUGUUUCUGCAGUGGCUGGUACCAGUUUUUCCUUUCUAUAUUUAGUGCUUUCUUACAAGAACUUUUAGUCCAGCUUCAUGCCUUAUUUCAAUAAGGUGAUAUUCAAUCACUGAUAUCCUUUCUUCCUCUUGAUGGAUUUGGCUAUUGGUACUUGUGUAUGCUUCAUGAAGUUCCUGUGCUGGGUUUUUUUCAGCUCCAUCAGGUCAUUUAUGUUCCUCUAUAAACUGGUUAUUCUAGAUUUCAGUUCCUGUAACCUUUUAUCAAGGUUCUUAGGUUCUUAGCUUCCUUGCGUUUGGUUAGUACAUGCUCCUUUAGCAUGGAGGAGUCUGUUAUUUCCCACCUUCUGAAGCCUACUUCUGUCAAUUAGUCAAUCUCAUUCUCUGUCCAGUUUUGUGCCUUUGCUGGAGAGGAAUUGCGAUCAUUUGAGGAGAAGAGGCAUUCUGGUUUUGGAAUUUUCGGUGUUUUUGUGCUGUUUUAUCCUCAUCUUCGUGGAUUUAUCUACCUUUGGUCUUUGAGGCUGAUGGCCUUUGGAUGAGGUUUCUGUGUGGGGUUUUUUGUUGUUGUUGUUGAUUUUGAUAUUGUUGCUUUCUGUUUCUUAGUUUUUCUUCUAACAGGCCCCUCUUCUGCAGGUCUGCUGCAGUUUGCUGGAGGUCCACUCUAGACCCUGUCCACCUGGGUAUCAACGAUGGAGGCUGCAGAACAGCAAAGAUUGCUGCCUGCUCCUUCCUCUGGAUGCUUCAUCUCAGAGGAGCACUGGCCUGAUGCCAGCCAGAGCUCUCCUGUAUGGGGUGUCUGUCGACCCCUGUUGGGAGGUAUCUCCCAGUCAGGAGGCCCCAGGGGACCCACUUGAGGAGGCAGUCUGUCCCAUAGCAGAGCUGGUGCACUGUGCUGGGAGAAUCCCACUUGUCAGGAUCAGCUGCUCUCUUCAGAGCUGGCAGGCAGGAAAGUUUAAAUCCACUGAAGCUGCGCCCACAGCUGCUCCUUCCCCCAGGUGCUCUGUCCUAGGAAGAUGAGUUUUACCUGUAAGCCCCUGACUGGGGCCUUUCCUUCAGAGAUGCCCUGUCCAGUGAGAAAUAAUCUAGAGAAGUAGUCUGGCCACAGCCGCUUUGUCAUACUGGGGUGAAUUCCGCCCAGUCCAGACCUCCCAGCCUCCUUAGAACUAUGUUUAUGGUUCCCAUUAAGAGUAGGGCAUAAAACCACAGGGACACAGGGAUCAAGAGGUUACUACGAAAAGUAAAGUUGUGCCCUGAAGCACCCCCUGCAGGUAGGAUCCUGUCGAGAGAGCCAGGAGGAGGGGAGGCCACUGGUCAGCAUUCUGGGCUAUUUUUGGUUCCCUCCCACCUGCCCCUCCUUUUGGCCCAAGUUCUAGUCCCACUUGCUUUGUCACCCACUUGCUUUGUCACCCACUGCCUGUUUAUGGCAGCUUCCUCUCUGGUCUUCAGUGUCCUCACUGAUCCAAUGAAUACAGCAUUGCUCCUCCAAUCACAUAUAUUCAUGCAGCAGUAUAAAUGAUACGAAAGUGCUUUGAAAAUCAUAGUAAGUGAAAGACUGAGGCACUGACUUCUUCCCAUUUUCCCAAGUCCUGCUUCAGAACCACUCUCCUAGACCCCAGCCCCUAACUCCAUCUUGGCCCUUUGAUCAAACUUUGCCUACUGUGGGGCAUAACUACACGGUAUCCCCAGAAAAGGGACAAAUAUUACAGCCCCAUCUCUUCUCUUUGCUAUUACCCAUGAUCACUCUUACAUCUAUAAACUUGGACCCUUUCUCUGGUUGGUGGGGCCCUCUCCCUAGACCAAAAGACAGGGGCACAUAGGCAUCAUAAUGGGCAUUCAGACAUGGUAUGAUGCAAGGGGUGGGCAUGUUGUAAAUGCUGGGGUAGGUCUGGGCACAUCCCAGUUACUCAUUUGGACUCACUGGGAGAAGUGAUUCACUAGAACUCUCAUUGGAAGAAAUGACAGGAAAGCUCCCUCCAAUAUCUCAAUUUCCAUCCCACCCAGUACCUGGUUCUAUGAUUCCACACCCUCCUAAUCCAUCCUGCCCUCCUAAUACAUCCCACUCUCGUAAGCCAUCCCAUUCUCAUGCCCGCAAAUCCCUCCCUCUUCUUCAAUCUGCCAAGCCCCUUCCUCCUCUCCAGAAGUACGUGGAUUUUUCAGUUUUCUGCCCUAACUGUUAUCCCACUGUGGCUCAUACCUGCCCUCCCCACUACCCUACCCUAAUACUCUACCUGCCCUGUUCUUCUGCUAUUCGUUACAAACCAUCCAUUUGUCAAUGCCCUGCACCCAGAACUCUUUCUGGUAACUCCUUUAUUGAUCACCCUAGCCCUCCUCCUAGCCCUACUGGUCAAUGCUUAGGUCCCAGAACUCUUCCCUGUGAUUCCCUUAUCCAUUCCCCUAUUCCUCCUCCUAACCCUCCUUGCCAACUCUCUGGUCCCAGAACUCUUUUCUGUGACUCCACUGUCUGUCCCCCUACUCCUCCUCCUAGCCCUGCUUGCAAAUGCUGUCGUCCCAGAGCUGUUUCCUGGGACUCCUCUACCUAUGCCUCUACCUCUCCUCCUUAGCCCUACUUCUUUCUAGUACCCUUUACUCUAGUCCCCAGGCCCCAGCCCUGCCAUCCCCAACCAGACCUAAUGGUUCACAAGUCUCAUCUUGGAGAUGGUUUCCCUGCUCCUCGGGCAGUUCUGGAACAGUUCAGGAUGGCCAGGACUGUGGAUUCCCAGCAGUCUGACCUGGUGGACAAAGGAAAUGCAAGACAAUGGCAAACCAGCGUUCAGCCUCACCAGCCUGCAUGAGCCUCUACAUUUGUUCCUGGCUUCUUCAUGGAACUUGGUCUACAGCCACAAAGCAAACCACAGGGCCAGUGACAGAGAAGGCAGAGGGGAGUGUAGAGUGGGAAGCACCUAACCUGUUCUCAAGGAGGGGAAUGAUUGGCCAAGAUGAGCUUCAAUCAUAUGUCCACUACCUCCUGGCCUGCCACUUGGCUGUGAGUCCUUUCUGGGCAGUGUCCAGGGGCGGUUCCAGUGACCAGGCAGGUGCUGAGAAGCACAGGCAGCAGGAUGAGGGGACACUUGCCAGGAGACAGCGUGGGAUGCCAUUGCCUAGAGUUGGCAGAAGGACCAGGAGCAGGCAGGCAGCAAGAGGGCACCCAGAGUGCUCCUGAUCGGACCAAGCUGCAUGGAGGCCACAGUGGGACACCUGAGGGAAAAGGUGACCCCAGAUGAGGUUCAUCAGAACCAGAUAUUGUGUGAACUGUCAAACUAGACCAAGAAGCAUGGAGGCUACAGAGGGACACCCCAGGGAGGUGACCCUGGAUGAGAUUCAUCAGAACUAGAUCUUGUGAGAACUGCCUGACCAGACCAAGCAGUACGGAGGCCACGGUGAGACACGAGGGAGAAGGCGAACCCAGAUAAGGUUCAUCAGGAACAGAUCUUGUGGGAACUGCAGAAGGUGACCACAGAUGAGGCUCAUCAGGAACAGAUCUUGUGGGAACCGGAGAGGACAACCCCAGAUGAGGUCCAUCAGAACCAGAUCUUGAGGGGACUGCACUUCAAAGUGCUACAGACCCACAAACAGUACAUGCAGUAUCACAUGAAUGCCCUCUGCAAGGGUGAGAGGCCUGGCAGGAUGGAGGAAAUACCAGAGAUGGGGGAUGCGCCCUGAAAAAAAGGAGAGCCCUGGGGACUGUGGAAAGUGGGGUGUGGGGCUCAUUAAAGGAGAAGAUACCUUCCCACACCCUACCUCCUUUUAUAGACUUUAGGAGCAAUGUCUUUGGAGGGGGCCUCACCUACAUCACAUCAGAUGCAUUAAAUAUAUUAAAAAGCAUUCAAAUCUCAUGAAACAUUUUCACUGUAGAAAUGAGAGUUUGAGUAGCAUUUUCUAAUUUUGCUUUUGAAAUAUAACUGUAUUUUGCAG